AGAGUUUGAUCAUGGCUCAGAACGAACGUUAGCGGCGCCCUAACACAUGCAAGUCGCACGAGAAGGGGAUUCGUCCCUGGUAAAGUGGCGCACGGGUGAGUAACACGUGGGUAACGUUCCCUCAGGCGGGGGAUAACCUUCCGAAAGGAGGGCUAAUACCGCAUAAGACCACGGCCUCGAAAGAGGCUGCGGUAAAAGCAGGCCUCUAUACAUAAGCUUGCACCGGAGGAUCGGCCCGCGGCCCAUCAGCUAGUUGGCAGGGUAACGGCCUACCAAGGCUAAGACGGGUAGCUGGUCUGAGAGGAUGAUCAGCCACACUGGAACUGAGACACGGUCCAGACUCCUACGGGAGGCAGCAGUGGGGAAUCUUGCGCAAUGGGCGAAAGCCUGACGCAGCGACGCCGCGUGGGUGAUGAAGGCCUUCGGGUUGUAAAGCCCUGUGGGGAGGGACGAAUAAGUCGGCGCUAAUACCGCCGGCGAUGACGGUACCUCCUUAGCAAGCACCGGCUAACUCUGUGCCAGCAGCCGCGGUAAGACAGAGGGUGCAAACGUUGUUCGGAAUUACUGGGCGUAAAGCGUGUGUAGGCGGCUGCGCAAGUCGGAUGUGAAAGCCCCGGGCUCAACCCGGGAAGUGCACCCGAAACUGCGUAGCUUGAGUACCGGAGAGGUUGGUGGAAUUCUCGGUGUAGAGGUGAAAUUCGUAGAUAUCGAGAGGAACACCGGUGGCGAAGGCGGCCAACUGGACGAGUACUGACGCUGAGACACGAAAGCGUGGGGAGCAAACAGGAUUAGAUACCCUAGUAGUCC
rnacentral:rRNA from 1 species